GAGUUGUGCUUCAGCCGAGUAUGUGGUCACCGGGUCUCAUGCCUGAGAGCUAGCUUAUUGUCUGCCUUCCCACUGAAAAGCAAGCUUCGUCCAGCAGCUUGGCACGGAUUGUGGUUCCUUUGACAGUGUCCAGCACAAAGAAGGGACUCGGCAAAUACAUGUUGAAUAAUUACCCCCCAACUUAUAAAUACUAAGAAUAACUUCUCCCACGUCUUCACUUCUAUGAACAAGCUGUGCACAGCACAGGACAAAGUAAAGCAGAGAAGCCUUGCUGUACAGGUAGAUCCUGUGAGGACUGACUAUUCAAAACCACAAAUAAUGACUCCAGCAUCAGAGGACCUUCUGCGAGGGUGGAAUCUUACACCCGAAGAAUGUAUUCUUUGUAAAAUGUUAAAAGAUGCUCGAAGUACACGCUUUUGCCUGGGUUCAAAACACUGAUUGCUCAAUAGUAAUCCCUUUGUGUGUUCACACGCUGGUGACAGAACUCUGCUGAUGGGCUCUCAGAACCAGGAGGCUGGGAAUGUGACACAAUAACUAAUUUUGCUCAUUAAAUAAAUUCAUUGAAACUA
rnacentral:lncRNA from 1 species